rnacentral:lncRNA from 1 species
GGGUCGAUGCCCCAAAAUGACUAAUUUGUCAAAGGACAUGUGUGCGUACGUACACCUUCACAUGCCAUUUACCAAGACCAUUUUUGUUAUAUAAAUAUAAGGACCUCAAGAACUACAAGUAUAAGAGAUGGUUUAAGGUUUAAAUUAAGUAUUUAACAACUGAACUAUGGACUCAAAUUUGGUCAUUAAUAUUUCUGUUGUGUCCAGCUUGUGCUUCAUCGUCUUUGCGGUUGCAUGUCUUGCAUGCUGUAAACAAGGAGAGAAGACAACUAAAGAUAAGUCGCCUGACGAAGAGAAAGCUGAUAAAUCCCCUAAAGAUCAAGCAGUUGAGAUGGGUUGUUGUGCUGGUGGUGGAAGCGGAUGUGGUUGUGGAUGUGGUGGCGGUUGUAGUGGUGGAUGUGGUGGUGGUUGUGGUGGUGGUUGAAUGCAAGGUAGUACGUUCUUAUGCAAGUAAUAUUUCUUUUUCUCUUAAGCACUUGAUGUAUGUUUAGUUUGAUGGUAUUUUAUUUCAUUAGUAUAAAUU